AAGAGCCAAUGUUGCAAUUCACACCCAAGGGCCAUCAGCCUUGGAAGUUCUCUCUUGCUUGGGGAAGGUCAGGAUUUGUACUACUCAGAUCUUUAACUGAUUGGUUCAGGCAUGGCCACAUAAUGGAGGGCCAUCUGCUUGAUUCAAAGUCCACUGACUUAAAUGUUAGUCUCACUCAAAAACACCCUCAUAGAAACAUCCAGAAUAAUGUUGCCCAAAUAUCUGGGCACCCUGGCCCAAUCGAGUUGUCACAGAGGAAUAACCACCCCAAGGGGCAAAGGUGAAUGUGAAGCAGGAGAAGUUGUGGGACGUGUCUGUGUGUGGAAGUUUUAUCCGGUCCUUCACUGAGUGUGGGCCAGGCCUGGCAGUGCUGAGCACAAAGAAGGAUGAUCAACUUCCCAAAAUAGGUUGUGUCUCAGGAAAGCAUAACAUUGCUUUAGGUUUUAAGAUAGCUUGAAGAUCGAGGUAAAAAUCAAACUUUGUCCCUACUUUAUUCUCUCUAGAUCAGGGGCCCCCAACCGCCAGGUCACGGACUGGUACCGGUCCAUGGUCUGUUAGGAACCUGCAUAGCAGGAAGUGAGCGGCCGGAAGCAAGCAUGACCGCCUGAGCUU
rnacentral:lncRNA from 1 species